GACGCAGCAAAAAGAUGGCCAUCUUUAAACGGGGAAGAGCUUUCACCAAAACCGGACCAUGCUGGUACUGUAAUCUUGCACUUCCAGCCGCCAGAGCUGUGAGAAGUUUGUUGCUAAUGGUACUGGAGUUUGCUAUCCGGGCUAAUCCAGCAGAUAUUCCUUCUUCCUAGAGAGAGGGCGGAGUGUUUCGUGUGAAAUUUGGCUCCUUUUCUCUGAGGAAGCUAGCAGAACAGUUGGAAGCAAGACGAGGCAAUCCAACGGCUGCCAUGAAGCAGAGGGCAUAUACAUCAGGGAAAGCAAACAAACAUCUGCUUAUUGCUAGAAUGUAAACAAAAAGUUACAUGUAUCUCCCUCAGUGGAGAUAUGGACCAAGGUUGCAGCUGUCAGGAUCUCUGCUUCUAAAUUGGUUAGAGCCUAGAAGAUGUGGAUGCUGACAUUUAAGGGAGUGGACCACUCUUACUAAGAACACCAACCUUGGUAGUUAGGGAUAAGGACAACUUGGAAGAGAUCCAAGUCUAGCUGCCAGAUACAGCUCUUCUUUUAACAAAGGGAAAAUGAAGCAUCCUGUUUGAAUGGAGCUUUCCCUGAUUUAUGGUGAAAUUGUUCAUCUCUGAUCCUUUAUUUAAAACCACAUGCAAUCUGUGUAUCUACUACUAAAUUGGA